CGUGGCAGGUGAGACAAUCACAUCACAACUUGGCAGCUGUGAUGAAACAUGUAUGAACUACGCAUCGCUUCGUAGAAUUAAUAUACAGCUUCCAAUGUGACUCCCAUUUUUAUAUAACAAUAGAAGGCUGACUCAAAGAAGGGGAAGUGGGGACGUGGAGAGUAGGCUCAAAUGGGAGGGAAAAAUAACGCGGCAGGAAGUGAGGGGGGGAAGGCAUAGACAGGGGAGGAGGAGCUGUCACAUAACACCGAGAAAGGAGGAGGAGGGGCGGGGGAAAAGGAUCUCCAUCGUUAUAUAAAGCAACUGGGAGUGUCGUUGUCACACUCCCAACCGAGACCCACUGCUACUGCUGCUGCUGCUGUCCGAAAGCACAAAUCUGUGAGCCAUGAGGGUGUUGAGCUUAGUCGGCGUGCUGAACCUUUUCACGCUGACGCUGAUACUGCUGACGAGAGGCACCGACGCUGAGCCUCAAGAGGGAGGAGGAGGAUUUUCUUUUGUCAUGAAGUUCUUUCGAUGCGUCGGCGAGGUGUUUACUGGCAACCGAGGAAGUACUACUGACGACGGCGAGGAGGACGCUGGUGAAGGAGGACUUGAGUUCCCCGAUGUCCCAUUCUUCCCCAAUGGAAGUCCUGGUGACGAAGGCACAGGCGAAUUCACCACCGCCGACUCUACCCUCGUUGAAGGGUCUAAAGGCAAUAAGACCAGACAGAGGUUUUUCUCCGGGAUCAGAACUCGCUACAGCUCCUGCAUGAACAAGGAUGGCAAAUGAAAAUUGGUCCUCAUGAGAAUGCUAUCGUUCGGAGAUGAUAUGAAGAAGAAGAAGAAGAAACAGUAAUAACACCAUCAAUAAAGCAUCGAACUCUGUC